rnacentral:rRNA from 1 species
ACCUAUGGCCAUACCACCCUGAACACACUCGAUCUUGUCUGAUCUCGGAAGCUAAGCAGGGUCAGGCCUGGUUAAUACUUGGAUGGGAGACCGCCUGGGAAUACCUGGUGCUGUAGGCU